rnacentral:rRNA from 1 species
AAGUCGAGCGAGCUUGCCUAGAUGAUUUUAGUGCUUGCACUAAUGAAACUAGAUACAAGCGAGCGGCGGACGGGUGAGUAACACGUGGGUAACCUGCCCAAGAGACUGGGAUAACACCUGGAAACAGAUGCUAAUACCGGAUAACAACACUAGACGCAUGUCUAGAGUUUGAAAGAUGGUUCUGCUAUCACUCUUGGAUGGACCUGCGGUGCAUUAGCUAGUUGGUAAGGUAACGGCUUACCAAGGCAAUGAUGCAUAGCCGAGUUGAGAGACUGAUCGGCCACAUUGGGACUGAGACACGGCCCAAACUCCUACGGGAGGCAGCAGUAGGGAAUCUUCCACAAUGGACGAAAGUCUGAUGGAGCAGCGCCGCGUGAGUGAAGAAGGGUUUCGGCUCGUAAAGCUCUGUUGGUAGUGAAGAAAGAUAGAGGUAGUAACUGGCCUUUAUUUGACGGUAAUUACUUAGAAAGUCACGGCUAACUACGUGCCAGCAGCCGCGGUAAUACGUAGGUGGCAAGCGUUGUCCGGAUUUAUUGGGCGUAAAGCGAGUGCAGGCGGUUCAAUAAGUCUGAUGUGAAAGCCUUCGGCUCAACCGGAGGAUUGCAUCAGAAACUGUUGAACUUGAGUGCAGAAGAGGAGAGUGGAACUCCAUGUGUAGCGGUGGAAUGCGUAGAUAUAUGGAAGAACACCAGUGGCGAAGGCGGCUCUCUGGUCUGCAACUGACGCUGAGGCUCGAAAGCAUGGGUAGCGAACA